rnacentral:rRNA from 1 species
CAACUCUUAGCGGGGAUCACUCG